rnacentral:misc_RNA from 1 species
UAUUCAGAAGUUUGUCAUCACCGCGGCAGUGCGUUGUGAAUUCUGUGUGUUAUUUUUGAUUUGUUUUACGAUUAAUUUUAUUUAUAUUAGUUAACAUUUUGUUGCAAAUAAUGUUAGAAAAGUGAUCAAGUGGACGAAUAAAAUACUACGCGCUACGUAAGAUCUUACAAAGGUAUUCAAAAUGCAUCCCAACGGGAUGCUACAGCCCUUCAUGUCCUACUCACCACCAUUCAAACAGUGGCUUCUUGCAGCCGCAUUGCUGUUGCUCUGUUGCAAUUUAAACAUAGUCGCUGCACAACAAGAGAAUUACUAUAAUACACAACAACAACAGCAGCAACAACAACAACAACAACAGCAGCAACAACAACAACAACAACAGCAAGUAUACAAUCAAAAUAAUCCACAAAAUCCAUUCCCUGGCUCUCAAGCCUACGAUGAUGUGAAUCAACGCUUCAAUAAUGAUCCUUAUAAUCAGAAUUCCAAUACGAAUCAGAAUCUCAAUACGAAUUUUAACCAAAAUACAAAUUAUAAUACGAAUGAUCCCGAUCGCACACGCUAUCGCACCGAUAACUUCAAUGAUUUGCCAGUUGAUGAACGUCCGAAUGCUGGCUAUGGCGGUGAGGAAGAUUUAAAUUUCGGCCGUGGCAAAACUUCGUACAAUGUAAAAGCAACUUUCUUAGAAUCGUUCCAUACGCGUGAACCGACUUAUUUUAUUGUUGCAUCACGCAUGGUGCGACCUGGCCUCAUCUAUAAGGUUGCGGUAUCGAUAUUGCGUGCUCAGUACCCAGUAACGGUGCAUGCCAGUAUUUCGUGUGAUGGUGUGCAGAUCAGUGGUGAUUCCAAAGAUGUAAAAGUGGGCGUACCCGAAACGAUGUUGAUGCGCGUGCCGCCUACGAGCGUCAAUGGGGAGUACAAACUGCGAGUAGAGGGUUUUUAUCAAGAUGUGUUCGGUGGUUUGGCCUUUCUGAAUGAAACACGCUUGGAUUUUUCGCAACGUUCGAUGAGUAUAUUCAUACAAACCGACAAACCUUUGUACAUGCAGGGCGAAACUGUGCGUUUCCGUUCGAUACCGAUCACAACUGAGCUGAAGGGCUUCGAUAAUGCAAUUGACGUUUAUAUGCUGGAUCCGAAUAAACAUAUUUUGCGGCGUUGGCUAUCACGCCAAUCGAAUCUUGGUUCCGUCUCUUUGGAAUACAAACUCGCUGAUCAACCCACCUUUGGUGAGUGGACAAUUCGUGUAAUUGCACAAGGUCAAGUGGAAGAAGGGCACUUCAGUGUAGAAGAGUAUUAUCAGACUCGUUUUGAAGUAAAUGUCACAAUGCCAGCAUUCUUUUUCACCACCGACCAAUUUAUUCAUGGCCGCGUGAUGGCCAAUUUCACUAGUGGUCACCCAGUACGCGGCAAUCUGACGUUGAAAGCAACGAUAAGACCUAUCGGAUACUUCAGUAAUCAGGUGCUAAACGAAAAAUUCCGCUUGGGACGUUCACCCACCGAAGAAGCUGCACGUUAUUUACAACAUCAGAAAGAACUGUACUACAAUCAAUACAGUCCAGUGCCUACACCAGAAGAUGUUAAUCGUAAUCAGGAUAUGCUUUAUCGCAAUCAGUACGUUGUUGAGCGGCAUUAUGAAUUUGAAGAGGAAUGGCCUUUCUGGGUGCGCAAACCCGAUGUGCCUGAUACGUACGAUUCUUGGACGGGUAGUUAUCGUAAGACAUUACCUUAUUUGCGCUACUUCAACGGUACAUUCCAUUUCAAAUGGCCAGUACGCGAACUGGAGGUUUUGGUGCCACAACUGGCGGGCAUGGAAGUAUUAAUCACCGCUACAGUUGGCGAAAAAUUCUACGACGAAGUGACUUCAGGCUAUGCAAUUGCGCGCGUCUACAAUUCCAGCAUUCGUGUGGCCUUCUUAGGCGAGUCGCCACAAGUCUUCAAGCCCUCCAUGCCGUUCACCGCUUACCUGGCCGUAGAGUAUCAUGAUGGUUCACCAAUUCAUAAAAAUCUACUACAGCAAGGUAUAAUGGAUGUCACCGGCUUUGUGGAAAGCAAGAGUGGAGGCCGACGAGAUUGGCCACCGACGCGACUGCAAAUGUCCGCCGCUAGUCCUGGUAUCUGGGCUGUGAAAGUGGAUCUACGUAAUGAUCUACAGCUAGAUGAUCGUGCCCAAUCGCGGGAUUUCUUAAAUGGCGUAGAACGUAUGCGUCUGCAAGCGAGUUUCAUUGAUCCACGCGGUGAACGCGCUCAAACAGAACUUCUGAUGGUGUCACACUAUUCGCCACGCAAUCAACAUAUCAAGGUUUCCACGAGCACAGAUACGCCGGUCGUUGGCGAAUACAUCAUCUUCCACAUACGUACGAAUUUCUACCUGGAGGACUUCAACUAUUUGAUUAUGUCCAAGGGUGUAAUACUGGUAAACGAUCGGGAAACAAUAAUAGAGGGCAUACGCACUAUCGCAGUUGUACUGAGCGCAGAGAUGGCCCCAGUGGCUACGAUUGUCGUUUGGAAGAUAACACUCGCUGGCCAAAUAGUUGCGGAUUCGCUGACAUUCCCGGUGAAUGGCAUUUCGCGAAACAACUUCACGGUCUACAUUAAUAACCGUAAAGCACGCACGGGUGAAAAGGUUGAAGUGGCCAUUUUCGGUGAAGCUGGCUCAUAUGUGGGGCUCUCCGGCAUCGACAGCGCGUUUUACACCAUGCAGGCAGGCAAUGAGUUGACAUAUGCGAAAAUAGUUACUAAAAUGUCAACAUUCGAUGAGCAAACAAAUGGCACAUACAAGCACGUCUGGCACACGCAUGAGGGCACACCCGAUGAGCUAGUAUACUUCCCCGCCUCGUCGUUCGGCAUCGACGCGAAUCGCACCUUCGAAUACAGCGGGUUAAUUGUGUUCACGGAUGGCUAUGUACCGCGGCGUUACGACACUUGUAAUCGCACACUCGGUUACGGCGAGUGCCUGUCCGGACGUUGCUAUCCGCUAAAUAAGAAAUGCGAUGGGCUGUUUGACUGUGAUGAUGGUACCGAUGAAAUUGGUUGUCGCAUACGCAAUGACACAGAACUAUUAGAUUAUCGCAAGUAUCGUUUUAAUCGCAUUUUGCGACACUACGAAAAUGUUUGGCUAUGGAAAGAUGUAAAUAUUGGACCGCAUGGACGUUAUAUAUUCAAUGUUGAGGUGCCAGAUCGCCCUGCCUACUGGAUGGUGAGCGCCUUCAGUGUUAGCCCCUCGAAAGGUUUCGGUAUGUUGAACAAAGCGAUUGAGUAUGUUGGCGUACAACCGUUUUUCAUUAACGUCGAGAUGCCCACGCAUUGUCGACAAGGCGAACAGGUUGGCAUACGUGUGACUGUCUUCAAUUACAUGACCACGCCCAUAGAGGCAACGGUAGUGUUGCAUGGCAGCAAGGAUUAUAAGUUUGUGCAUGUCGAGGAAAAUGGUAUUGUACGUUCCUACAAUCCACGUACCUCUUUUGGCGAGCAUCAGUUCUUCAUCUACUUGGAUGCACAGGGUACUACGGUGGUUUAUGUGCCGGUGGUGCCACAAAAGUUGGGUGAUAUCGAUGUAACAUUGCAUGUGGCCACCUUGCUGGGUACCGAUACAAUUACACGGCGUCUGCAUGUUGAAUCGGAUGGUUUGCCGCAAUAUCGCCAUCAAUCCAUACUCUUGGAUCUUUCGAAUCGCGCUUACGUACUUGAAUAUAUGCAUGUGAAUAUUACACAAACACCAGAGAUACCAUACCAAGUGGAUCGUUAUUUUGUCUAUGGCUCGAAUCGAGCACGUAUCUCCGUUGUGGGCGAUGUGGUUGGACCGAUUUUCCCCACGAUGCCAGUGAAUGCUACUUCACUGCUCUAUUUACCUAUGGAAUCGGCGGAACAGAAUGCAUUCUCAUUUGCUGCGAAUCUGUACACAAUCAUGUAUAUGCGUUUGAUCAAUCAACGUAAUAAGACAACGGAAAAGCAUGCCUUCUAUCACAUGAAUAUUGGCUAUCAACGCCAAUUGAGCUUCAUGCGCCCAGAUGGCUCAUUCUCACUCUUCCGGUCGGAUUGGAAUAACUCUGCCUCGUCCGUGUGGUUAACUGCGUAUUGCGUCCGUAUUUUCCAGGAAGCUUCCUUCUACGAAUGGGAAAAUUUUAUUUGGAUUGACCCAACUAUCAUCGAGAAGAAUAUGCGUUGGUUACUGCAACAUCAGACGCCUGAGGGUGGUUUCUACGAAGUUACUUGGCUGCCAGAUCGCAAGAUGAAUCGCACGAAUUUUGCCAAUAAUACUAGUUUACAAAAUCGCAACGUUACGCUCACCUCGCACGUACUUAUCUCAUUGGCCUCGGUUAAAGAUCUUUCCGGUUCGCUGGGCGCGCGUGUUGCGCUGGCACAACAACGCGCCAUAUCAUGGAUCGAACGCAAUAUGCAAUUCUUGGAAGAUACCGAAGAGCCAUAUGACGUCGCCCUCACUGCAUAUGCCCUCCUACUCUGCAAGUCACCAAUGGCAGAGCAUGUCUUUUCCAUAUUGCGGCGACAUGCACGUGUAAUCGGUGAUUUUAUGUAUUGGGGUAGCAAAGAGGUGCCACAACCGCCAAAGAAAUUAGAAAAUCAAAAAUGGUUCUCACUACCGCGGCUGCCAUACGAAUUUGAUGCUAUGAAUAUUGAGACAACUGCUUAUGCGUUGCUAGUUUACGUCUCUCGCCGUGAAUUUAUUGUCGAUCCAAUAGUACGUUGGUUGAAUGCGCAACGUCUGAACGAUGGCGGCUGGGCAUCUACACAAGAUACCAGUGCAGCAUUGCGUGCGCUUGUCGAGUAUACAGUACAUUCGCGCAUACGUGAGGUUUCAUCUUUGACGGUGGAAAUAGAGGCGUCAUCGCAAGGCGGCAAAAUACAAGCCUUACACAUCGAUGACACGAAUUUGGCGCAGCUGCAAAGUAUUGAGAUACCCGAAUCUUGGGGAACAGUUAAGGUGCAAGCCAAAGGUGCUGGUUAUGCGAUAUUGCAAAUGCAUGUGCAAUACAAUGUUGACAUAGCGAAAUUCCAGACGAAACCGCCUGUGCCAGCAUUCGGUCUGCAUACUAGAGCCAUCUUCCACGGCAGAAAUCAGUCGCACAUAUCAUACGUCGCUUGUCAAAAUUGGAUUAAUACACGCGAAUCGGAACGCUCCGGUAUGGCGGUGCUUGAUGUCGCUAUACCUACUGGCUAUUGGAUACAACAACAACGUCUCGAUCACUACGUGCUAAGCAAUCGUGUGCGAAAUUUACGUCGGGCUAAAUACACUCACCAGAAGGUUAUCUUCUACUUUGACUAUCUUGAUCAAGAGGAUAUUUGUGUUAAUUUCACUAUCGAACGUUGGUUCCCAGUGGCGAAUAUGUCACGUUAUUUGCCCAUACGCGUCUACGACUACUAUGCGCCAGAGCGCUUCAACGAGUCCAUUUUCGAUGCGUUACCCACAUACCUGCUGAACAUUUGUGAAGUGUGCGGCAGUUCGCAGUGUCCAUACUGUUCCAUUUACAAUAUGGGUUGGCGAGCUACUAUGUCUGUGUCACUUCUAUUCUUUAGCGUAUUUAUAUAUCUAAUGCGCAGUCGAAUGCAUGUAGUGCUUAAUUGUCUGUAUUUGUUCACAUAAGCCACCCCUAAGAUAGUUAAAAAUCCAGGUUUGUGCCGUUCCUGUAUACUUUUCCUGGUCCCAAUAUUUUUUUUUUUCAUAUACAAAUCUUUAGUGUUCACAUACUGCACACCAUUUAAAAUACCUAUAGUAUCAGCUAGAAAAGACAAGUGGAUGUAAUACAGUGGAAUAGCAUGCUCAGCUGGUUCCUUAGUCGCUCGAAUAUUUAUAUAAAAAAAAAAACUCCGAAAAAACCAACGUUACGAAACAUACGUAGUUUUUAAAUGUAACUUAGUUGCCAGAGCAACGCUCAGCAACCGUGUUCCGUCCAAUACUGUGGUCAUUAGUUGACAACCGGUUCUUGCGCCAACUCUAUUUUGCUGCAAUUUAUUUAUAUUUAGUAACCUUUUCUUUUAUGUUAAUCUAAUGCAGUAUGCUAAUCUUUGUUGAAAAAGCGUUGAUUGUAAUUAAACGAUGAGAUCCAACAAUAAUCAAUAAUUUUAUUUUAAGUAUAAACACUGAAAAUCUCAUAUGUACAAAGCUAAAUGAGCUGAUAUUUAAGUACGUAUUUUUUUUUUAUAUAGCAGAGGACUUCAGGUAGCUUACAUCUCAAAUAGGAUUCGUAACUUGAAAUAAAUAGCAAUCUCGAAUUAAUUAAAAAUUUUGCGUACUAAGUGCGUAAAUGAAGAGAAUACAAAUGUGUCUUAUAAACGGCAAAAGCCUUGUAUCUUAGUUAAGUAGAGCAUAUCAUUGCAAUCAAAAGUGCAUUUUCUUUAUUAAAGUCAUAAAAUGAGACGAAAUUAAAACUAAAAUUUAUACUACCUUAUAAAUUUUUUUAUUGAAAUUGUAUUAUUGAAUAAAACGAACACCUGUAGUAGUUGUUAGUGACGUAUACACAAACAAAUAGUCUUACUGUAUAAAUAUUUGCUUAAAAAUAUAUGUUUAAUAAUUACAGACAUUCAUGCG